CCCUUACUGCUUCCUGCUCCUCUUACCACUAAUAAGCUACAUAUGUAAACUGAUACUCAACAAACUCUACACCUUCAGAAUUAGUAGCAUACAUCACCCUAAAAAUCUUUUUCAUAUUAUCAAUGAACCCUUAAGGAUCUGCACCAACCUUAGAGCCUAUAAAGGUUGAGGGAUUCAACCUCAUAAACUGGCCAACCCAAGUGAACACAGAUAAACUCACAGCAGGACCUAAAAAU
rnacentral:lncRNA from 1 species